rnacentral:rRNA from 1 species
CACGGGGGGAGCAAGCGUUGUUCGGAAUCACUGGGCGUAAAGGGCGUGUAGGCGGUUCGGUAAGUGGAAUGUGAAAUGCUCCGGCUCACCCGGAGUACUGCAUCCCAAACUGCCGGGCUUGAGUAUGGGAGAGGAUGAGGGAAUUCCUGGUGUAGCGGUGAAAUGCGUAGAUAUCAGGAGGAACACCGGUGGCGAAGGCGCUCAUCUGGCCCAAUACUGACGCUGAGGCGCGAAAGCUAGGGGAGCAAAC